rnacentral:lncRNA from 1 species
GGGACGGUUCGAGCUUGCCCUAAAUUCUAUCCGUCUUCUCCAAAUUGGCACAUCACCUCUCCGAAAUCUUUGCCUUUCUACUAGAAGCUUUUUCUCUCUCCCUUACAUUUAGUCUCCAAAGCUCUGUGCAAGUCCUUCUUGUGCAAAUGGCUCCCAAAAUGAAGCUUCCACAGAGGAAAAAAUCUGUUCGCAGGUUGGAAGAGAGUGUGCGCAGAAAGAGAUUAGCAGCCGAGCCCUCU